CCGGUUCGGGGCUCCCCGCGUCGGGCCUGGCGGGCGCCGGGCUCCGCUCCAGCGCUGCGCUCCGCUCCGGCGCCUCUGGACCGCGGAGCGCGGCCGCGGCAGCCUCUCCCCAGGGCCUGCUGACCUUUGGGGACGUGGCUCCCGCACUUCUCCCAGGAAGAAGGGGCAUGUCUGGACCUGGGAGAGGGCCUUGUUUAGAGACUCGCAGGAACCCGGCCUCCCCAGGAGUCCCAGGAUCCAAACCAGAUCCAGCCUCCCUGCUGGAGCAAGGAAAGCAGCCCUGGGGCUUGGGCCUGUGGGGGGGCCCAGGAAGGAGAGACCCCGGGAGGCCCUGGCACAGGUGACUGAGGGGAGCCAUGGGCUCAGGCUGUUCAGUAUGUACGGUCAGUAUAUGCAGCUGGAGUUGUGAGCAGCUGAACAGGACAGCCACAGAGUCCUAGUGCACUCUCGUUGGUUCAUCCUGUGUGGUCACCCAGGUAAUGGGCACCUACCCUGUGGCAAACAGGCAGCCAGGUAGCAGUUAAGGAGUAAAGGCUGCGGUUGUUGCCUCCCCGUCAUUACAGGUUGCGGGAGGCUUUCUGGGAGCCAGCACUGUGCCAGGCGCUUUACAAAUUGUGCCUCACUUUCCCCCCAGCAACCCAAUGGGAUGAGCCAUCAGAACCCUCAACUGCAAGGAACCCAACCACCCUUGCCAAAGUUGGGGGGCUCUUGGCUCAAGCUGUGAAAGUUAGGGGUGGGGUUCUCAGUGCUGUGGGCCUCAGGCACAGGGGUGAAAGCCAGAAUAUUUCACAUUGCUGGGCCCGACAUCCAGCUUCCUAGGUAGGUCAUGGCCCGCUGGUGACCAAAGCACAAUGGGGACCCAUCUGCCCCCCGCCCCAAAGGGAACCUUCUCUACUUCUCACAACACUUCCGACAGCAAAUGUGUGUGUCUUGGGGGGGGGGGUUGUGUUCCCACACCAACCAGCUCGCCAGAGCGGGAGCAGCACGAGGGACUGGACUGUUUCUCCACCCGCAGUCGGCGUGGGCAUGUCCGGUCCUCUCCACGACGAGAGGGUCGCCCUGGUCUGCCUGCUCGGGCCAGCAUCACCCGGUGGCCUGCGGAUUGGGCGUGGCAGUGGCACUUCCCUGGACAGACGGAUGCUCUGAAAGCCCGUUUUCAAGGGCAUCCAGAUUUUAAAACUUCAAACGUAGGUCGUGGGCUUUGUUUUCAGCACAGGUGGGUUCUAAAUGCCUUUGAGGUCCGAAGGGGCUACGGGGCUUUCGGGUCGACUUUGAUCACACAGCAGCCCUGAGCACCUGGUCGCAACUCUAGACUUCGUUUGGUUCUGGCGCUGUUUUCAGAUGCUGAUUUGCUGCAGCGGGAUGGGAUGUUUCCAUCUUAGGCCGCUCAGCCCUGGUGCUCCUGUAGCACCGAAGGCUUUACUCGCUCAGCUUCACGUUCCUGUAAGCUGCCUUUUGGGUUAUGUCAGGCAAGGUGAAACAUUAAGAAUGUGCCUUUCAUUUGAACUGUUCUUUUUUCAGCCACUGUUCUUAACUUUACAGAAUAAGGUUGCGUAGUAGGGAUGUUUUCUAUAAAUAAUCACAGGAAAACAAUUCACACACGUGGUGGAGGUGAGGGACACGAUGUAUGUCAGGCCAGUGGUCCUCAAACACACAGGAGGAGAUGAAAGUUUGUUGGCAAAGGCUGCCCGAGCUUCGGCGGAAGGGCACUGUGCCCUGGGAUCUCCCACUGACCCCUUGGCAUUCCUGGAUGCCCCCCGCCCUGAGGCUGAGUGUCCCCGUGCACAGUGAGACUCUAAAUGUGCUCCGCCAUCUCUUUACCGAUAUUCCAUAAGCUAAUUACGAAGCAACCCGUGACCAUUGAGGAAAUAUAAAAAAUGCAAAUAUAAAAGUAAAACAUAACAGGGAGUGUUAUCUUGGAGUCAUCUUAUUUUGGCUCUUUAGGAACCCUUAGGCCGCCAGGGAAAAUGGCCAUGGAAAGGGGGGGUGGGAUUUGGGUACCCCCGUGGCCACAGUGUCUUCAUCCAGGCUAUCUAGAUUCAAAGCUUUAAGAAGAGAAAACGUCCCUAAACGAAAGAAACAUGUGAUCUCAAUCCUGAAAGACCUUCUUGCAAACUAAGAAAAAUAAUAGAGCUCUCGAGGGCUAACCUCAGAGGCGCCGUGCGAACAUCGAGAACAGACACGUGCGCCACUGAAAGAGAAGUCAGUGAGACUCAGAUUCAACGACAAAAACCAUAACGCUUUCUGUAUGUACUUCCUUAACACGUCAUCGUCAUCUUUUUUUUUGGGGGGGGGUCUUUUUAGGGCCGUACC